GUGCUCACUUUGGCUAUACAUAGGCUAAGACUGGAAUGCUUCAAAGAUUAGCAAGGCCCCUGAGCAAGGAUAAUACUCAAAUUCAGGAAGUGUUCCAUAUUUUC